UGAUAUGCUAAUAGAGGUAGACAAGGACGCGCAACCAUUUCCUGGGUAUAGUACCUUAUGGUAUUCUCUGAAUUUGAUUUUUACAAGGGAAAACAGACACGAUGCCUAGUCAUUCUUUAUUGUUGUUUCUCCUGUUCGGAGGUGCGGCCAGUCGCCGUUAUAACGAGAUGCAACUUGACUUCAUCGUCUACUCAGCCAAAGGCACACAAAGAAAAAGAAAGAGCGAGCUGAAAUCCCAAGUCAAACGCAGUUGUGCAUUACAGUGGGUGGGGAUGGACAACAACGCGACGGACAAAAAAAAAUCCAGCAGUCAAGAGAAUCAAAAGGCAAAAAUGCGACUCGACGAGAAGAUCAGCAGCGUCGCGUUCGGUCGAUUAACUAAAAUCGAUGCAGACAAAAAUGUGCCACGAAUAAGAGUGUGUGUCCUAGGAUCAGCGGCCGUCGGAAAAACGGGUAAAUUCCAUUGCCUUGCGAGGGUUAGAAUGACAUUUAUUCCAAUUAAAAAAAAAAAUGGGGCUUUUAUCUUAAUCAAAAUGUUGUUUAAUAAUCACGACACCGCAUUCGUUCGCAACCUACGCUUGGUUUCUUUGUGUUGCCUAGCAACGCGGAUGCGACGCUCAUCACCUGCAGACUAACACUCCUUCGCAAAGCUGCUAUUAUCUCUUAUUCAUCCGACUGAAAGGUCAAUUUUCGCGACACCCACCACUUCUUCGCAAAAAAAAAAAUGGGCACGUUCGUGCAACGGCAACACCAUUAAAAAUCUAUAUCUAUUUUUGCACUGUUUACGUUGCAGCUGUUGUGGUUCGUUAUUUGACCAAUCGAUUCAUCGGAGAAUACUGCACGGGAAAAGGCGGAUUUUUCUUUCCCAACGGUUCAUGUUUCAUGGGCAGACGCAUGUAUAGUUGUCUAUUCUAUCGGAAAUAGCUCGAGUUUCGAGGCCGCAGCUACGAUGCUUGAAAAAAUACAGAGUCUCAAAAUGCCUUUUUAUCUACCGGUACUUUUGUUGGCGAAUCAAAAAGAUCUCGAACAUCUUCGUCAGGUUAGAGUCGAGGAUGGCCAAGCGUUGGCGGUACAAAACAAUUGCCACUUUGCUGAGCUUUCGGCAGCUGAAGACGUCGAGGGAGUGGAACUCACGAUGACGGCGUUGUUUCGAGAGGUGCGGACGCUCAAGUCACAACGAACAGCCGUUCGCCAGAAAAAACCUUCCCUAAUGCACGUCACAAAGUUAUUUAGCUCAUUGAUUGGCCGUUCCUCUGGCUCUUCCUUCAGUGAAGCGGACGGAGAAAAGCCCAAACUAAAAAGUAGUUCAACUGCAUCGUCGCUUCACACGAGCGACGAAAGUGAAAGCAAAGUGAAUACGCCAACAGAGAAGGAGGUCAAAUCGAAUAAAGGAAUAAAAAAACGACCUUCUUUCUCUCUAUAAUUGCUUACGUCUACCUCUGUCACCCACAACCAACCGGCGUCCGACCAGACGGUUAAAUUCCACGCAUCGGACAAAUUACUAAUGGCAUUCCUUUUCAAUCGUCAGUUGCUCUAACGAGAUGAUCUCUUUUUACCCGAUAUAUAUUUUGUUUACACAGUCUCAUUGGAAGGCUGCCAGAAGUGUAGCCUCCAACCUCAUUGCAUGUUUGACGCCAAUGACAGUAUUGAAUAUAAUUUUAAUAAACAGAAACAAAGAAUAUCCGCUACAGCUUGACCCACUACUAAAGUAAUGAAAUCUAACCUUAUUGGAGGAAUUUUGCAUGAUGGCUGAAAUGGUCUUCCAGGUAAGUUGCUAUGAAGUAGUAACUAUGGUCGUAUCCUGCCUGCUUCCGUAGAAUUAUUGGCAUACCGGCUUUAGCACAUGAUUCGACUAAGUUAUCGGGAAGAAGCUGGCCGUCCUUUAGAAACUGAUCUUCCUCUCCCUAAGAAUUAUUUGUAAAAUAAUUAUCCUGACUUUCGCUACACAAAAAUAGACAGAAAAAUUAG
rnacentral:misc_RNA from 1 species